AACGAACGCUGGCGGCAGGCUUAACACAUGCAAGUCGAGCGCCUCGCAAGRGGAGCGGCAGACGGGUGAGUAACACGUGGGAAUCUACCCAUCCCUGCGGAACAACUCCGGGAAACUGGAGCUAAUACCGCAUACGCCCUANGGGGGAAAGAUUUAUCGGGGAUGGAUGAGCCCGCGUUGGAUUAGCUAGUUGGUGGGGUAAAGGCCUACCAAGGCGACGAUCCAUAGCUGGUCUGAGAGGAUGAUCAGCCACAUUGGGACUGAGACACGGCCCAAACUCCUACGGGAGGCAGCAGUGGGGAAUAUUGGACAAUGGGCGCAAGCCUGAUCCAGCCAUGCCGCGUGAGUGAUGAAGGCCUUAGGGUUGUAAAGCUCUUUCACCGAUGAAGAUAAU
rnacentral:rRNA from 1 species